rnacentral:lncRNA from 1 species
GGGAAUCACACACACUCCUACUACUACUACUGCUAUUUCGUUCGAGAAGUAUAGCAGUAAGGAAUCACAUUUCUCUAUUCUGAUUUCAUGUGCAUGUGGUUUUCUUCAUCGAUCGGGGGCUAUAUACCGUUGUGGAUCGAUUAUUUCAUCCAUUUUGUGCAUUACCAGAUCUCCUUGUGCAUUACCAGAUCUCCAAAUAAAGUGUUGAUUGAUUUAGUACAUGUGAAGAAAGGAAUGGAAUAGCAAGACACGCAAAAUAUCAUACAUUUGGGUAGGUGGGUGAAACAUAAAAG